UUUAUUUUUAAUUAUUUUUUCAUUUGUCUGUUUAUGUCUUGAUGUCUGUUUGUGGAGCACUGUGGGUUGCACUCUGUGCAAAAAAUUAGCUAUAUAAAUGAAUGUGACUUGAUUUGACUAACUUUGAGAUGCUCUUUUAUUGGCUACGGGGAUUAACAGAGAAUGAAAGGAAAACAAUGUAGGGUCUAUUUUUAGAUGCUAAUGAGUGUAAACCUUCGUUGGGGACCAAAAUGUGCAUUCCCUUACCUUUCCUCCAGUAAGUGCCAUCUUCUGAGGAGUCUUAGCAAGAUGGCAGUGAAAAGAAUGUACUGACUGCAUAAACAGUUCUUCUUUACAUUUACAGAAGUAAAAAUACUUUGCCUCCCUGCAGCAUAAAAGUAUGAUAUUAUAAUCAGAUAUAGUCAGAUAUUUUGCUAUUUUGGCUGUAGUCACACUCAUUAUCUUCCAAAAAUAGACCCUAGGGCUCUGUGAAAACUGCUGCCUUUUAAGAUAUCUAACUGGGGAGCGAGGCUGCAAGUGUGGAAACAAAACAAUUGUU